AGUGAACGCUGGCGGCGUGCUUAACACAUGCAAGUCGAACGAGAACGGAUUAUAGCUUGCUAUAAUUGUCAGCUAAGUGGCGCACGGGUGAGUAAUGUAUAGGUAAUAUGCCUCUUACUAAGGGAUAACAAAUGGAAACGUUUGCUAAUACCUUAUACUCCUUAUUAACAUAAGUUAAUAAGGGAAAGAUUUAUUGGUAAGAGAUUAGCCUGUAUUGUAUCAGUUAGUUGGUGGGGUAAUGGCUUACCAAGACUAUGACACAUAACUGGUUUGAGAGGAUGCUCAGGCACACUGGAACUGAGACACGGUCCAGACUCCUACGGGAGGCAGCAGUGGGGAAUAUUGCACAAUGGAGGAAAGUCUGAUGCAGCAACGCCGCGUGGAGGAUGACACAUUUCGGUGCGUAAACUCCUUUUAUAUGAGAAGAUAAUGACGGUAUUAUAUGAAUAAGCACCGGCUAACUCCGUGCCAGCAGCCGCCGUAA
rnacentral:rRNA from 1 species